rnacentral:tRNA from 1 species
GCAAUAAUAGCUUAUAAAGAGCAUUGGUCUUGUAAAUCAAAGGUGAAUAUAUAAAUUCUUAUUGCU